rnacentral:snoRNA from 1 species
GCAUGUUUCGAUUUGAGACUCGACCCAAACCCGUGGUCCUGUCUCAGUGUACGACAUGCGACAUCAACGUCCGACUCCGAACCAUUGGCUGGCUCCUAUUGGUGGGCUUGAUCACUGAAGAGAGUCAGACACUU